rnacentral:piRNA from 2 species
UUCCUUGUGCUUUCAACUGAAAACAGUC